CUGUAAGCUUAGUUUGAGUGGGCCAUUGAAGAUGCUGAGGAGAAUUUACUUUGGAGA
rnacentral:tRNA from 1 species